rnacentral:misc_RNA from 1 species
GAAAGGGAAAAUUCAGAGACUGUCCUCUCAGUUUAAGCAUCAAUGUCACUCUUAAAUCAACUCUUCAACAGAGGAGUUUUUGGUGCUAAAUGCAAAACAUGUUUGACAUUGGCAAUCUCACGCAUCAAAUUGCUGCAAAAUAAAAGAGAUUUGCAGCUCAAACACAUGCGCAAGGAAAUUGCACAAUUUUUACAGGCUGGCCAA